AGAUUAAGAAACACGAUAAGUUAAAGAGAAAUAGUGACAAAUUGCUGGCCUGUUACAAGAAUAUCCAGUUUGGCUCUUUCCCUUUAUUAAAUAAUAUCCUACUACACAUAUAAAGUCUACAUUUCGAAUGAAACUAGGAGGCUAUGCACAUUGAACAUCGUCAAAUCAAGACGGUUUUGAAUAUCAAUUAGGAAACAACUUUUGGAAGAAAAAAAAAUGCUUAAUUUGAAAAUCCACACAAGACUAAUGUUGCCUUGAUUGAGCUGCGUAAGUAGUAGGUAGAACUGCAGUGUGCUGGAAUGAAAAGAAAACCAGCGAAAAAUGAAGAAGAAAAAUCGCACCAUGCACAGGCAAUGGCACUGGAAGAAUUCACGGGUUCUAUUAAAUAUUCCCGUGUUCUCUUAGUGGCAUCACUAGUGAUGGGCGACCCUACAGAUAAUGAUGAAGACGAUGGCAGAGAAGAACAUGAAGACGAUAUCAAUAAGGUUGAAAAUGAAAUUAAGGAAUCAGACGGAGAAAAGAUUUACAAUCUACGUCAUAAAAUUUAUUUUUCUAUUCAAAAUGCAAUCUUUUGGCUAUUAUUUUAAUGAUAUUUUUUUAACGUAUAGGUAACAAUAUAAUUUGUAUAAUUUGC